ACCGGCUAGUAUCGCGAGAUCAGGAAGGUGGCCGAGUGUGUCGCCGCGGCCAUCAGGCACUUCUCCUUCCUGCCCUUGUAUGAAGAAGGAUGUGUUUGCUUCCCCUUGUGCCAUGAUUGUAAAUUUCCUGAGGCCUCCUCAGCCCUGCAGAACUGGCUAGAGCAAUGUAUCUUAGGCUCACUUAAGGAAGCUGUAGAGAUGAGCCCAAGGAGGGAAACCAGAAGAGCCCCCCAGGCUCACCAGUUGUUUGUUGGCUCCCUACAAACAUGUCAUUCAAGUGGCUAAUCUUACAACAGCACAAAUUCAUCUAACCAGCAGAAAGAGAAGAGGAGGCUCCAAAGGCACUUGACUACUGAGCAUCACCCUGGACGUGUACAAGUCUGCGUCCUUAUUGUUUUCUUCAUUGGGCCGAACUUUCUGGUCCUCAUCCAACAGCUCUUCUAUCACGUGUUCGAAAGUGUCAGCCAAUGAUGUCAAGCCUCUUGAACCUGCCUUGGGCCCAUUCACGCUCUCCAGAGUCCCAUGGGUCCGCACACCUGGAGAUACUCUAUUAUAGCAAAGAAGAAAGAUAAUUUCAUUGAGCCAUCCUGUUUUACAGGAAAUUCUGCAAGUGGCAACGUGGGUCCAUUCCGUGUGUGUCACUAGAGCUGGCGCAAGCCCAUGGCCAUGGUGAGGCAGCGUUUCCACUGGAACUAAUCUGAUACCUGCACCAGCUCUUGCAACUGUGCAGUGUUCCCACUGCAAACUACGGAUGGGAAUGUCUGCAAUAUCUGCUGGCUUUAUGUUUCAUAUGAUAAGCAUAUCGUCUGUGCCUUCAGACACAUUAUCAGCCAACAUGUCGGUGCUGGAUGUAUUUUCCCAAUGUUGCAUAAGAGGAAUACCUUCGAGAGUUUGGCCUAGGAAUGUGGCCUGGGACUCCGCCAAGCAUCUCUCUCCAGCAAAAUGACUGCAAAUUUCUCGACCUUCAGAUUCUACAUGAUGUAAAAGAAGUUUGUCUGUGUUUAAAAACACAUUCAAGAAAUAAGUGAACAUGUGAAAAGACAGAAAAACUUGUUUUAAUUUGGGCAUAGUUUCAGUUUUCAAAGGCACAUGAAGGCAGAAAGAAAGAAUCACAAAAUGGAACUACUGAUGAUAGCAACUCCAAAACCAAGACUGAUUAGACUAAAUCCCAUGUGGCAAAAAUUUUAUUUAGUAAGUUUCCUUCUCCCUCUCUCCCUUUAGAUAUAUGUGCAUACACACACACGCACCUUUAUUUUAGUAAUUUUUUUUUUCUGAAAAAGAAAGUUUUCUGCACCUGAUUGCUUCCAUGAAUAACACAAAGCACAAACAAUAUGACUUUCUUUGGUUAUCAUGCAAUUUUUUCUCUGCUUACCAGAAAUUGGCACAAAUUUAAGAUAUACUAUAUUCUACUCCCUGAAGCACAGUCGCUGGCAUCUCCACUGGCAUUUAAAAAUUUGAAGACAUUUAAAAGAAAAUCCACAAGCUUAUAGUUGCUGUCUAAAUCAACUUUAACAUUUCAUAUAUUCACAAUUUCAUAAGUGAAUCAAAUUACACAUAAGAAAUUAUAGAACUAAGCCAACUAAAUGACUUUUAUAAUAGGUACUGGGGAAAAAUAUUAUUAAACCUUUUCCUCCAAUUUCUGCCUUUCUUCCAGCAAGACAAACCAUUUUCAUGAAGUUUCUGUCUACAUCACUAGUGAUAAUCUGAAGCAGCCAUUAAUCAAUCUAUUAGUGCAUUCAGCAACAUUUAUCAAAGUGCCUCCCCAGAACUGUUUUGGAUGCUGUUGUGGGCGCAUGCAAAAAUGAACUAAAUAUAGAUUUUUGUCAUCCAAGAAUUUUAAGUCAAUUUGUAA
ensembl:lncRNA BDNF-AS BDNF antisense RNA